AGAGUUUGAUCCUGGCUCAGAAUGAACGCUGGCGGCGCGCCUAAUACAUGCAAGUCGAGCGAGAAGACGUAGCAAUACGUUUGUAAAGCGGCGAACGGGUGAGGAAUACAUGGGUAACCUACCCUCGAGUGGGGAAUAACUAGCCGAAAGGUUAGCUAAUACCGCGUACGCUCCUUGGACUCCGGUUCAGGGAGGAAAGCGAUACCGUGGGUAUCGCGCUCUUGGUUGGGCUCAUGUCCUAUCAGCUUGUUGGUGAGGUAACGGCUCACCAAGGCUUCGACGGGUAGCUGGUCUGAGAGGACGAUCAGCCACACUGGCACUGCGACACGGGCCAGACUCCUACGGGAGGCAGCAGUAAGGAAUAUUGCGCAAUGGGCGAAAGCCUGACGCAGCGACGCCGCGUGGGGGAUGAAGGUCUUCGGAUUGUAAACCCCUUUCGGGAGGGAAGAUGGAACGAGCAAUCGUUCGGACGGUACCUCCAGAAGCAGCC
rnacentral:rRNA from 1 species